rnacentral:rRNA from 1 species
GACAGAGGUGCCGAGCGUUAGGCGGAAUCACUGGGCUUAAAGCGUGUGUAGGCGGAUUUGUAAGUACCUUGUGAAAUCCCACGGCUCAACCGUGGAACUGCUUGGUAUACUGCUUAUCUUGAGCCACUUAGGGGCAGUCGGAACAGACGGUGGAGCGGUGAAAUGCGCAGAUAUCAGGAAGAACACCCGUGGCUAAGGCGGCUCUCUAGUACGGUACUGACGCUGAGACGCGAAAGCGUGGGGAGCGAACAGG